AGGAGCUGGCUCCAGAUUCCUGUGUAGCUGCCACCAGGAGUCAGCUUUUCGGUUCAUG
ensembl:miRNA Mir7659 microRNA 7659